UUUAUGGAGAGUUUGAUCCUGGCUCAGGAUGAACGCUGGCGGCGUGCCUAAUACAUGCAAGUCGAGCGAACGGACGAGAAGCUUGCUUCUCUGAUGUUAGCGGCGGACGGGUGAGUAACACGUGGAUAACCUACCUAUAAGACUGGGAUAACUUCGGGAAACCGGAGCUAAUACCGGAUAAUAUUUUGGACCGCAUGGUUCAAAAGUGAAAGACGGUCUUGCUGUCACUUAUAGAUGGAUCCGCGCUGCAUUAGCUAGUUGGUAAGGUAACGGCUUACCAAGGC
rnacentral:rRNA from 1 species